rnacentral:snoRNA from 1 species
GAGGCAGAGUCUGCUUAUCUGAAAGUGUUUCUACAGAAAUGUAGAGAACUGGCAAUAGUGAUGCCAUGUUACGAGCCUUAAGGACGACUGAGGCCGUUAAAGUCCCUGGAAAUGGCUACAAUA